CCUACGGGCGGCAGCAGUGGGGAAUAUUGCACAAUGGGGGAAACUCUGAUGCAGCGACGCCGCGUGAGUGAAGAAGUAAUUCGUUAUGUAAAGCUUUAUCAGCAGGGAAGAAAAUCACGGUACCUGAGUAUGAAGCCCCGGCUAACUACGUGCCAGCAGCCGCGGUAAUACGUAGGGGGCAAGCGUUACCCGGAUUUACAGGGUGUAAAGGGAGCGUAGACGGCAGUGCAAGUCAGGGGUGAAAGUCGGGGGCUCAACCCCAGGAUUGCUCUGGAGACUGUAAGGCUGGAGUGCAGGAGAGGUAAGUGGAAUUCCUAGUGUAGCGGUGAAAUGCGUAGAUAUUAGGAGGAACACCAGUGGCGAAGGCGGCUUACUGGACUGUAACUGACGUUGAGGCUCGAAAGCGUGGGGAGCAAACAGGAUUAGAUACCCCUGUAGUC
rnacentral:rRNA from 1 species